UACGUAGGUGGCAAGCGUUGUCCGGAUUUAUUGGGUUUAAAGGGUGCGUAGGCGGUCUUAUAAGUCAGUGCUGAAAUAUCCCGGCUUAACCGGGAGGGUGGCAUUGAUACUGUAGGACUUGAGUAAAGUUGAGGUUGGCGGAAUUGACGGUGUAGCGGUGAAAUGCUUAGAUAUCGUCAAGAACACCUAUAGCGAAGGCAGCUUACUAGGCUGUAACUGACGCUGAGGCACGAAAGUGUGGGGAUCAAACAGG
rnacentral:rRNA from 1 species